AAUGAACGCUGGCGGCAGGCCUAACACAUGCAAGUCGAGCGAGGACUUCGGUCCUAGCGGCGGACGGGUGAGUAACGCGUGGGAACGUGCCCUUUGCUUCGGAAUUGCCCUGGGAAACUGGGAGUAAUACCGGAUGAGCCCUUUGGGGGAAAGAUUUAUCGGCGAAGGAUCGGCCCGCGUUGGAUUAGGUAGUUGGUGGGGUAAUGGCCUACCAAGCCGACGAUCCAUAGCUGGUUUGAGAGGAUGAUCAGCCACACUGGGACUGGGACACGGCCCAGACUCCUGCGGGAGGCAGCAGUGGGGAAUCUUAGACAAUGGGGGGAGCCCUGAUGUAGCCAUGCCGCGUGAGCGAUGAAGGCGUUAGGGUUGUAAAGCUCUUUCAGCUGGGAAGAUAAUGACGGUACCAACAGAAGAAGCCCCGGCUAACUCCGUG
rnacentral:rRNA from 1 species